rnacentral:rRNA from 1 species
GACAGAGGGGGCAAGCGUUGCUCGGAAUUACUGGGCGUAAAGGGCGCGUAGGUGGCCUGUUAAGUCGAACGUGAAAUCCCCGGGCUCAACCCGGGAACUGCGUCCGAGACUGGCAGGCUCGAAUCCGGGAGAGGGAUGCAGAAUUCCAGGUGUAGCGGUGAAAUGCGUAGAUAUCUGGAGGAAUACCGGUGGCGAAGGCGGCAUCCUGGACCGGCAUUGACGCUGAGGAGCGAAAGCCAGGGGAGCAA